UAAAUCUAUUGACGCUUCUUCUUCUCCAUCGACGCCGCUCUCUUCUCUUCUCCUUUGAGCUUUCUCUUCUCCUCUACAGACGCAUCUGGAGCUCUCUCCAUCUCCAACCUCUCUCAAGCUAGCUCUCCAUCUCUCUCAAACUCUCGACCCUCUCUCCAUCUCGCACGAUCUCGAGCUCUCCAUCUCCAACCUCUCUCAAGCUCGCUCUCCAUCUCCAACGCAUCUCAAGCUCGCUCUCCACCUCUCGACCCUCUCUCCAUCAAGCUUCGUCUCGUCUCUCACACCAUCUCCAGAGCUCUCUCUCUCGAUCUCAAACCCAGGCUCUCUACAUCUCGACCCUCUCUCCAUCAAGCUUCGUGCAUCUCCUUCAAGGACUCUGCUUGUCGCUGCUUCAGUUAUAUGGUGUCUAAGAAGAAGUACAUCUUCACUAUUGACGACGAUUGCUUCGCUCUCUCAGGCUUCUCCAUAGCAUCUCUGGCUCUGUCUGUGUGUCUCAAGCUCUCCUAAGCUUUGUCUGUCUUUCACUCUCUCGCUCACAAGUACUUGCGGCAAAGAAGUGUGUUGAAUAAGAGUUUGUUUUCACAAGUUUUAAACUUUGUUCUAAAGAAAUUUGAAAAGAGUACAUGGCCUCUUCGUUCAUUUGUGUAUAAGAACACGUCUACUAGAGCCAUACUUUCGAAUCGACUUCCUUGAAUGUUAUAUUUGCUACAAAUAUUCUGCUUUUUUUUUUUCACUUGAAAGUUAUAUUAUUACAGGACCUGAGAUUUGGUUUAUUCGUUUGUAACGUUAUAUGAUGGAUUAUAUUUUCACACU